GAAAAGUCUGGUGCCAGCACCCGCGGUAAUUCCAGCUCCAAAAGUAUAUUUUAAAGUUGUUGCGGUUAAAACGCUCGUAGUCAAUUUAAAAGUUUAACUGAUAUGUUACCUUGAACAUGUACAGUUUGGAGAUUCAUAAUCUCCAGAUUCCUUUACAGGGCAACGUGUUUGAGGCUCGUUUUCGAAAGCUUUCGGAGGAAAAAUGCAGUCCUACUUGGGCCUGUAUAGAGAGUGUAUAGAAAUUAGCAUCUUCAGUUAGAUUUGUCUUCAACUGUGAUUAAAUCAAUGUGCUUAAAGCCGGGUCAAUAAAUCAAUCCUAUAUGCUUCAACAUGGUAUUGAGGUUAAUAUCAUUCUGAUUCGAAGGGGGGCAUAUCCCAUGCCUUCACAAGGUCAGGAUGAUGCAGCGAAUGUGAGCAGGGAGGGGGUGCAUGUAUUGCUGUGCUAGAGGUGAAAUUCAAAGAACACAGCAGGACUAGCAGAAGCGAAGGCGGUUACCCAUCACACUUCAGUCAAUCAGGAACGAAAGUUGGGGGAUCGAAGAUGAUUAGAUACCAUUGUAGUCCCAACUGUAAACUAUCUCGACAAGAGAUUGGCAGGAUACUUUUUUUCAGAUUCUCUCAGCAUCUAAGGGAAACCGAAAGUGUUUGGAGUCCUGGGGGAGUAUGGUCGCAAGGCUGAAACUUAAAAGAAUUGACGGAAGAGCACCACCAGGAGUGGAGUUUGCGGCUUAAUUCGACACAACACGGGAAAACUCACCAAGUCCGGAUAGUUGUUAGGAUUGACAGAAUAAAGUUCUUUCAAGAUUUGCUAUAUGGUGGUGCAUGGCCGUUCUUAGUUCGUGGAGUGAUUUGUCUGCUUAAUUGCGAUAACGAACGAGACCUCUUUCACUAACUAGGCCAUCAGUUUCUGUAAACUGAUAAAAUCUGGCUAGGGCGUGUCUCUAGUUGGAGGCUUCUUAGGGAGACAAUACUUCGUUUAUACUAUAAUUAGAGUAAGGAAGCGAGGCAAUAACAGGUCUGUGAUGCCCUUCGAUGUUUUGGGCAGCACGCGUAUUACAAUAUUAAUACCAGCAAGUUUAUCUUAAUUGCCUUCUCUAAAUCUAAAAGAGUGGGAAAACUUAUCAACUAUUAAUGUGACUGGGAUAGAUGUUUGGUAAUUUCAUCUUAAACGAGGAAUUCCUAGUAGGCGCAGGUCAGCAACCUGCACCGAUUACGUCCCUGCUCUUUGUACACACCGCCCGUCGCUCCUACCAAUGGAACAAGAAGGUGAAG
rnacentral:rRNA from 1 species